rfam:Candidatus Margulisbacteria bacterium GWE2_39_32 gwe2_scaffold_105, whole genome shotgun sequence.
UCCAUCGUGAGGUGGAAUCUGAAGGAAGUCGGCGGCAAAGCUCUGGUCUGAGGAACACGAACUGCACAAAAGGCAUAUGCCUGUUGGGUAAGUUUGCAUAACAAAACAGAGCCCUAAACUAAUCGAAACAGGUGGUGUAUAUGCAGCAGAUAGAUGGAGUGAAAGAUGGGGGA